UGUGGGGGCUGGGUGAAGGGGGUGAAGGGAUUGAGGAGUACAGAUUGGUAUUUGCAAAACAGUCAUUGUGAUAUAAAUUAUAGCAUAGGAAAUACAAUCAAUAAUAUUAUAAUAACGACGUAUAGGGCCAGGUGAGUUCUUGAAAUAUCAGGGAGGAACAUUUUACAAAGUAUAUGAUUGUCUAACCACUAUGCUGUAUGCUUGAAAAUAAUACACAAUAACAUUGAACAUAAACUGUAAUUGAAAAAUAAAAUUUAAAAAAAAAGAAAGUUUUUGAGACCUACCAGCCUCUGUACCCUGCGCAAACCGGCUGGGCCACCUCUACUGACUGCACACCCCUCUCCCUGUUAACUG